rnacentral:rRNA from 2 species
CGGAGGAAAAGAAAAUAACAAUGAUUUCCCUAGUAACGGCGAGUGAAGAGGAAAGAGCUCAAAGUUGGAAACUGUUUGGCUUAGCUAAACCGUAUUGUAAACUGUAGAAACAUUUUCCUGGCACGCCGGAUUAAUAAGUCCUUUGGAACAAGGCAUCAUGGAGGGUGAGAAUCCCGUCUUUGAUCCGAGUAGUUGUCUUUUGUGAUAUGUUUUCAAAGAGUCAGGUUGUUUGGGAAUGCAGCCUAAAUUGGGUGGUAAAUCUCACCUAAAGCUAAAUAUUUGCGAGAGACCGAUAGCGAACAAGUACCGUGAGGGAAAGAUGAAAAGAACUUUGAAAAGAGAGUUAAACAGUAUGUGAAAUUGUUAAAAGGGAACCGUUUGGAGCCAGACUGGUUUGACUGUAAUCAACCUAGAAUUCGUUCUGGGUGCACUUGCAGUCUAUACCUGCCAACAACAGUUUGAUUUGGAGGAAAAAAUUAGUAGGAAUGUAGCCUCUCGAGGUGUUAUAGCCUACUAUCAUACUCUGGAUUGGACUGAGGAACGCAGCGAAUGCCAUUAGGCGAGAUUGCUGGGUGCUUUCGCUAAUAAAUGUUAGAAUUUCUGCUUCGGGUGGUGCUAAUGUUUAAAGGAGGAACACAUCUAGUAUAUUUUUUAUUCGCUUAGGUUGUUGGCUUAAUGACUCUAAAUGACCCGUCUUG